rnacentral:rRNA from 1 species
CAUGGCUCAGGAUGAACGCUAGCGGGAGGCCUAACACAUGCAAGCCGAGCGGUAGAGAUCUUUCGGGAUCUUGAGAGCGGCGUACGGGUGCGGAACACGUGUGCAACCUGCCUUUAUCUGGGGGAUAGCCUUUCGAAAGGAAGAUUAAUACCCCAUAAUAUGUUGGAUGGCAUCAUUCGACAUUGAAAACUCCGGUGGAUAGAGAUGGGCACGCGCAAGAUUAGAUAGUUGGUGAGGUAACGGCUCACCAAGUCUGCGAUCUUUAGGGGGCCUGAGAGGGUGAUCCCCCACACUGGUACUGAGACACGGACCAGACUCCUACGG